UGAGAUUUGAUAGUUUUUCGUCUUUCUGCUUUAUUUCUAUUGAAAAGCUUUUUGAGUACAAAGAUAUAUCACUUUAUCAAAUCCCGUUCCCCAGUGAUCAACCCCCCUCUCUUUAAUGAAAGGAAUAUGAUUAAUUUGCAUCAUCAAUUAAAAUAAAAUAAAUGCAUACAUUCUGUAAUGCUCAUAACUCUUACUCUUGUAGUAGGCCUUACACGUAGGCUUUCUAGACAUGUUGAUUAUCAGGAUCUGGACUAAGAAGGCCGGGUAGUUUAGUGCGCUUCUCCCAGCUCUAAGGUGUAAGCUCUAUGGUUUUCAAACUGAGUCACGACUCGUAAGUGGUUCACAACAGAGGGAGUGUAAGGCAAGGCAUGGCAACUUUAUUUGUAUAGCACUUUUCAUACACAAGGCAGACUCAAAGUGCUUCACAUAUAAACAUUGUCAUACAAUAAAAUAAAAGAUAAGUAAAAGAAAAAAUAUGCAAAGAAAUGGGUAAAAUAGAAAGUUAAAAAGGCAUUUUAGUAUUAAAAUAGAAAAUAAAGGCAAAGUUAAAAAAGCUUUUUAGAAAGUGCAAUGUAUUUAAGAUUUAGCAGAAAGCUAAAGCAAACAUAAAAGUCUUCAGUCUUGUUUUAAAGGUGCUCAGAGUUGGGGCAAGUCUUAAAUCCUCUGGGAGUUUAUUUCAGCUAUUUGUUGCAUAGUAACUAAAUCCUGCUUUCCCAUGUUUCGUGUUUACUCUGGGGAUAAUUAACAGAUUGGUCUCAGAGGAUCUUAGUGGUCGAGAAGGCUUAUGUAGUGGAAGCAUAUCAGUUAAAUAUUUUGGGCCUAAACCAUGUAGGUUAGCAACAUGAUUUUAAAAUCAAUUAUCUGACCAUGUCAAUUAUUUUUGGUCUUUGUUAGAACUCUAGCAGCAGCAUUCUGAACAAGCUGAAGCUUCCUCAGAGCUUGUUUUGGGAGACCUGUAAGGAGACCAUUGCAGUAAUCAAGCUUACUAGUGAUAAAGGCAUGUACAAGUUUUUGUAAGUCUUCGGUGGACAUGAGCCCUCUAAGUCUUGCUACAUUUUUAAGGUGAUAGUAUGCCGAUUUUGUAACUGAUUUGAUGUGACUGUCGAAAUGUAAAUCUGAAUCCAUGAUAACCCCUAGAUUUCUGGCUUUGAUUGAGGUUUUCAGGGACAGAGAGUGAAGGUGUUGGGUUACUUUAAGCCUUUCUAUUUUAGAACCAAAUACAAUUGUCUCUGUUUUGUCCUCAUUUAGUUGAAGGAAAUUUCGGCACAUCCAUUCUUUCACUUGCUCAAUGCACUGGCACAGCAGAUCUAUGGGCCGAUAGUCAUUUGGUGAUAGCGAUACAUAGAUUUGUGUGUCAUCAGCAUAGCAAUGGUGGUCAAUAUUGUUAUUUUGCAUGAUUUGCCCUAGUGGGAGCAUUUAGAUGUUGAAUAAAGAGGGUCCUAAGAUCGAACCUUGUGGGACUCCACAUGUCACGUUGGUUGAUUCUGAUACAAAGUCGCCAAUGGAAACAAAGUAGUUCCUAUUUUGUAGGUAGGACCUGAACCAAUUUAAGACUGUGCCUGAAAGCCCCACCCAGUUUUCUAACCUGUCCAGAAGUAAUGUAUGGUCUACAGUGUCGAAUGCAGCACUGAGGUCAAGUAGCAUUAGUAUUGAAGUUUUGCCAGAGUCUGUGUUAAGACGGAUGUCGUUUACAACUUUAAUAAGGGCGGUCUCAGUGCUGUGCAGGGGUCGAAAUCCUGAUUGGAAGGUGUCAUAGCAACCAGUUGAUGCCAGGAAGUGAUUAAGUUGCUGGAGGACAACUUUCUCAAUGAUUUUACUUAUGAAGGGUAGAUUUGAUAUUGGUCUGUAGCUGUUAAUAAUAGAGGCAUCUAGGCUCCGCUUUUUUAAAAGGGGUUUAAUAACUGCAAUUUUGAGAGUAUAACAUUAAAGCAUGCCAUCCUUGCCACGUUACUUUUGCCAGAACAGGGUGGUAGUCCAACAUUUUUGUUUGAAGUGGAGAUAUUGAUGGCGCGUCUGAUGCCUUCAAUUUUAUCAGUAUAAAAAGCUGCAAACUCAUUGCAUUUCUGCGUGGAAUGGAGAUCAGGUGGAAUUUGUGUUGGGGGGUUGGUCAGUCUGUCAACAGUUGCAAAUAGGGUUUUUGCAUUAUUAGUGUUGGUUUUAA